AUAGCAAAUUUUAAGUCAUUUACCUAAUUCAUUUCACUAAUAGGAUACAUUUAUUUCUCUUUGCAAACUGGAAGCUCUAGUUGAAUGUAUACCUUUUUCAUGUGAGAAACAGCCAAAGAAUUCAGUUGUAAAGUUUUCAAAUAGUGAAAGUCUCAUGUUGGCCAUGAUUGGGAGCCAUGACCCUACCAACAGCACGGAGGAUGAUGUAGAGGUAGGGCUAUAAAUCCACAUGAGGACUGAUUUGUGCUUAGAACUACUCAAGGAUUUUCUUUCUUUCCCUUAU
rnacentral:lncRNA from 1 species